rnacentral:lncRNA from 1 species
AACCGGAUCCCACCUUUGUUCAUUUGCUUCGAUCUUCUUGCUCUAUGAGAGAAGGUAGACAUUUCUGUGGUCAUUUCCAGACAUAGAAUCAUAAUCACCUUUGUCCUUAAACAGCUCCUUGAACUUCCACUGAUUUCAUCUCCGUUUCCUUGUGUUCUUUGGAACACUGUGCGUAUUGUAAUCACAGCCUUAGCUAAAUAGUGCUCUUCCUUCAAGAUCGAUGCUUCGUACUAUUUCUCACAUUUAUGAUUAUCAAUAUUCAUUAAAUUUAUAAGUGUGUAUAGGAUUGGCACCUUAGUAGACCAUAGGCUUCCUUUGCCAGCUGAAAUUUUAACAAUAAACACAAUAUAAAUUAAUAGUGAGACAUAAAGUAUUAUAUAGCAUCUUAUUUCUCAUGGUAGCUACAACUGUACCUACUUUAUUGUCAUAAAUGAGACCUACUGAUGAUAUUAAAAAUAUAUGUGUGUAUGUAUAAAAUAAUCCAAAUGUGUGUAUGUAUGUAUGUAUGUAUAAAAUAAUCCAAAAUUUAUUAUUUAAGAAACUGCCAUAUAUGUAUACAUGACAUACCUGGUAACAAUUGGAAUUUUGAAAGAUAGCUUUCACUGGACUGUCUUGUUGUGGAAAGUUCUAUAAACAAUAUGCUUAAUGAAUAUUUAAUAGUGUUUUGUGAUAAAGGCCACACCUAUAUACAUAACACCAUAAAACCAAGCAGGAAGAGCCAUGAUGACGCAGGGUUACCCCUCUCUGGACAAAACCAAAGAAAUGCCAGUAGCCCUGUACUUAUUUGUACAAAGUCCUUCCACUCAUUUUCUAAUGAGUCUUGACAUCUACUCAGUCUGUAUUACAGUUUCCAUUUAUAUUAUCUGCCUGAACUGCGCCAAGACCAGGAAGCCCAGAUGUCAUCAUAAAUACCAUCACCCAUAAUAUAAAUAUUCCAAUUAGAUUCCUUCUAUUUUCAACAUCUACCAUUUUGAGCUAACAGGAAAUAUUUGUAUGAAAAUGAAACCUAGAUUCUAAGGUCUUCCUAUUCCUCCCCUUACUAUGCUUUUGUUUUUUAAAAAGAUUAAUAAUAUUCAACUGCAUUUCAGUUUGUGUUAUCAAAUGCUCAUUUUCUUAUUCACACAAAUAAGAACUAUCAAAACACGCUGAGCACUCCGUACAGGGCACUUCACAUCAAGGUGGCCAGAAGUUCAUUACAGAUUGAAAGCGUGAAAAAGAUAGACCACAUGUGGGUUUGGUUUUUCUUUUCACGUUUUUUAGAAAAUUUUCAUUUUCCCUCCCUUUUCAAUACUCAUAACUUGAUAUUAAAUCAAAAUACUUUAAACUGUAACCCCAAAAAAUCUGAGUAAUCAUUGACAGCUCAAGCAUAUGGCCUUUUCUUGUUUUACUGUUAUUGGACUUUAAUCAACAAUUUAAAUCUUCACCAUUGGGAAACUGAAAAUAGUUCUAGACUGUCCGUCUUUGAUGAAUUCUAAAAGAUGACUCGAGACAGACUGAACUUCUCCCCGACAGUGACCGUGAACCUUCUAUCUGUGCACUUAAGAGCAGUUGCCUGCCUUGCCAUGUGGAGUCCACGUUACCUUUCAUCGCCACAUAUGUGUACACAGCUAUUGUCUCCUGGUAACCGAGAAAGAAGGGCUGAUAGUUAGAUUUUACAGAUUAUCUCAACUAACAUUAGUUUUAUAGAAUGUUCCAUUCUCUGUUUUACACCCAUAUUCUUUAAAUUGCACCUGCAGAAUGCAUUCUCACUUGAGUUGUUUUUGAUAAUCUAAGUAUUUCUCCUGAUGCGUAUUCUUUUUCUAUUGAUUUUGAAACCGUAUGCAUAAUACCUAGUAUAUAAAUGCUAACAAAUAAAAAGUAUUUUUUGCAAGAUGUGAAAUGGUCACAUUCAUCUUCCUGGUGACAAGCACAG